UUAAGCAGUAUUGAACUACAGGAUUCCCUAGUACGGCGAGUGAAGUGGGAAAAGCUCAACUUUGAAAUCUGGCACCUUCGGUGUCCGAAUUGUAGUCUCAAGAAGUGUUUUCUGUGCCGGUCCAUGUAUGAGUCUGUUGGAACACAGCGUCAUAGAGGGUGACAACCCCGUUCAUGACAUGGAUACCGGUGCUCUGUGAUACACUCUCGAAGAGUCGAGUUGUUUGGGAAUGCAGCUCAAAUUGGGUGGUAAAUUCCAUCUAAAGCUAAAUAUUGGCGAGAGACCGAUAGCAAACAAGUACCGUGAGGGAAAGAUGAAAAGCACUUUGGAAAGAGAGUUAACAGUACGUGAAAUUGUUGAAAGGGAAACGAUUGAAGUCAGACGUGCGUGAUGCGGUUCAGCCUUGGUUCGCCAGGGUGUAUUCCGUAUCUUUGCAGGCCAACAUCAGUUUCGAUAGUCGGAUAAAGAUUAGUUGAAUGUGGCACCCUCGGGUGUGUUAUAGCUUCUAAUUGAAUACGAUUGUUGGGACUGAGGAACGCAGCGCGCCGCAAGGCAAAGGUUCCGACCUUUUCGCGCUUAGGAUGUUGGUGAAAUGGCUUUAAACGACCCGUCUUGAAACACGGACCAAGGAGUCUAACAUGCUUGCGAGUGUUUGGGUGGCAAACCCAUACGCGUAAUGAAAGUGAAUGGAGGUGGGAUCCUUUACCGGAGCACCAUCGACCGAUCCGGAUUUUUAAUGAAGGGUUUGAGUAAGAGCACGUAUGUUGGGACCCGAAAGAUGGUGAACUAUGCCUGAAUAGGGUGAAGCCAGAGGAAACUCUGGUGGAGGCUCGUAGCGGUUCUGACGUGCAAAUCGAUCGUCAAAUUUGGGUAUAGGGGCGAAGACUAUCGAACCAUCUAGUAGCUGGUCUGCGAGUCCUCCUUCUCGAGGAACGCACUCUGCUCUAGAUCGUUUCGAUAUACUCCUUUCCGCCUGUGCCCAGAUGUGCUAACAAUGUGAUUGGCAGUCUAACGCGCUUCGAGCUUCCGAGUUCCCUGCCUCACUAUCAGCUAGUACCUUCGGUCGACACUGUCU
rnacentral:rRNA from 1 species